UUCUUUAUGUUUUGGUGCGGAAACAUGUCUUUCACUUCCAUUGUUCCUACAUUAUUUUGCUGUCACUUUAAUUGCUUCUAAUUUUACUCUUUAUUUUCUUGCUUUCCUUCUUCUUCAUGCUUUCUUCUUCUAUGGAUUUUCCCUAUUCUUCCUUUUGCUGUUUUUUUUCUUUUUCGUUCAUGAAAAACUGCGAGCUCCAGUCCACGGUUCUUUCUAUAUGUUUAUUAUUGGCUGUUACAUAUAAGUAAUUUUUUUAUUUUAAUGUAAGAUUUGAAUUUGUGUUUUAAGAAUUCAAUUUGACCAAACAACUAAAAGGCACAUAGGAUUUUCUGAAGUACAGGAGAAAACAGGUGAAGGCUGCAAAGAACCUGCUUCAUAGUGAUAUGUGGGCUACUCAUAUAAAGAGGUCCUUCAUUUUUUCAAUGACAUGAGAGGAGAUAAAGGUGUUGUUGCUUUCUCUAAACUUAUGAAGCCCUCUCCAAUGUUUGAGGACUUAAGGUCUUAUCUACAAUGAUUGUAAGGUGUAUACUCUCUUUCACAAGCAGUUGGAGUACGUACCACCUUAAUGAAGCUUGAUUGGCAUGACAAGAUGUUCACUGAUGAAGCUGGAAUUGUGUUGAAAAAGUCGUAUCAAGUAUGAAGUAGAUCUUUGCAAUAAGCUGGGAUGAUCCUUUUUGAAACAAUAAUUGGUACUUGAAUUAUAUAAGACUGUACAAAAUUUCGCCUACCAACAGAAUAUGACAAAUAAAAACGACAAAUGUUGUUAUAAGCUUCUCACCUCAAGAACCAUCUCCACAAUCAACAGCAAAAGCUUAAAUGUAAAUGUGAGGUUUCCUUCAAUGUCAUUUCAUUUUGUAUGGAUAAAAUUGCAUAAUGAUUGUCUGGUAUGGGCGAACCCAGAGAAGAGGUGACACCUUAUGCAAUAGAUGUUACCUUUGCCUUUUUUUGCACUGUCCAUUUUUAUCUCAGCUAUCUGGUGUGGUUUUUGAGUGAGUUCAAAUUUAAUUUAGAUGAAUUUGCUUCAUAAUUGCUAUUUUUGCUUCAAAGUGCUAUUUCUUGGUGAAGAUCAAGCAACAAACAACAAAUCAUUUAUUAUGUUUAGUAAUAUAGAGAAGACUUUCCAUAAAAUUCUCAUCUUUGGUAGCUAUCUAUUCUUCAUUGUCAUUUUAUUAAUUAGUACCAGGUACUGCUCACCUGCAAUUCUCAUUUGCUUUUGAAGGAACACAAAUUUGUGUGUUAUCAGUUGUUUAAAAUUGAUUGAAUUUGGUAAAACACAGUUUGAAGCUUGGCUAAAAUAAAAGGAAAAAUUUUCUCAUUUCCCUUUGCUUCUGUUAAUGAUAAAUCAUCCUGCCCUUUUUUAUCAAGUAAACAUAAAUCAUUAUGCUUUUGCUGAUUAAUGGGACAUAUUAGCUUUAACAUGCUUUAUUCUUUCAUCCCUUGCACUCGAACCAGGCACUCCUAACAUGAUUAUGGCACUUGCUUCAAAUUAGGCAAAUAAUUAAAUGCAUUUGAAGUUGUCGCACAAGUUAGUCUAUAUCAUUCUUUUAUUGCAUCAUAAUAUUAUAUUUUGUACAUGCUAAUCUGUAGAAACAUACAAAGAAAUAAGUGGUGGUUGUAUACAGUAGUGAGUUAUUUCAAUUAAAACAGUAUAUUCUCUUUAUAGUUUAUGAUUAGACUGGUAUAAAAAAAAUUUAAUGUAGUAUUCUGAAGUAAGCAACAGCCAUGGGGAAAGUACCAAAUAGCAAUGAAAUGCUUCAUAAAAAAGGUACGUAAACAAAGCUCUAAUUUUAUUAUCAACUGACAAUAAUAUUUUCACACGCUAACAGAAGGAUAUUUACGUUAGAAUAUAAUGCUGAGCAAUAUCUCUUUCUCCAAAGAAAAUUUCUCCAUACAUUAGUAAGGGGCAUAAAUAAUUAAUUUCAAACAUAUGCAUUUCUAGAUUGCUAUGAGUCUUCUCGAAGCUCACAUAAUAAAUAUCUAACUAGCUGGGUAACUCCAAGGAAGAGGUUGUCUUUCCUGUAAAGUAUGAAGGAUAAUUGGAGAAAGAUGGUAUAUGAUGCUUGAUACUUCCGUGCUAAUAGAAUGAGACGGUAGCACAAUAAAUUUCUCCAUUAUAUGUUUAUGUUACAAGGGGGUCCAUAUCAGGAUAGUUUCACUAGCGAGGGUUGAAUAGAUCAUUCCAAGGGAGUGACUGAAAGAAACUUUAGAUGUUACUUAUGACACACACCCACACGCACUUUUACUCUCCUUUUUAGGUCUUCUAUUCGGUUCCUACUUUUUGUUGUUUAUCUUCUAACUCUAAUCAUCCUAAAGCAUUUGCAGUGGCAGGUAAUUUGAGAGUUCAAAAGGAAAAUGAUUUGAGAUGUUCGAAGAUGGACUUCCAUCAAUUUCUCAGGUGCAAUGAUCAGAAAAGUUUUGUUACCUUAACAA